rnacentral:rRNA from 1 species
UACGUAGGUGGCAAGCGUUGUCCGGAUUUAUUGGGUUUAAAGGGUGCGUAGGCGGUUUCUUAAGUCAGUGGUGAAAUACGGCAGCUCAACUGUCGAGGUGCCAUUGAUACUGGGAAACUUGAGUACUGAUGAGGUAGGCGGAAUGGACGGUGUAGCGGUGAAAUGCUUAGAGAUCAGGAGGAACACCUGUGG